AGUGUUCUAGUUUGCUCUCUACAGUUGUGGUAAAAUUUCUAACCAAAGCAGCUUGGGAAGGAGUGGGUUUAUUUCAGCUUACAAGUUAACUCCAUCAUCAAAAGAAGCUGGGAUAGGAAUUAAAGGCAGGAACCUAGACACAGGAACUAAAGUGAAAACCAUGGAGAAACACUGCUUAGCAGCUUGAUCCCUGACUCACCGUCAGCUGCUGUUACACAUAGUAGUUCUAAAGACUUGAAGGCUGGAGAGAUGGGGGCUGGAGAGACAGCUCAGUGGUUAGGAGCAUUGUUCUCUCAGGGGACCUGGGUUCAGUUCCCAGCGUCUGCAUGGUGGCUCACAACUAACCCGACUCCACUUCUAGGAGGCCUGACACCUUUUUUUGACCUCUGUGGGCAGCAGGCACAGAAUUAGCACACAGACAUAUAAUGCAGGCAGAAACUCAAACACACAAAAUAGAUAAAUCAAAAGAGAUUUAUUUAGUUUGUGUGUACCACUUAUGUACAGGUGUGCAUGGAGGCUGGAAGAUGGCACUGGACUCCCUGGAGCUGAUGGUAUAGGCACUUGUGAGCCACCGGAUAGGAGUGCUAGGGUUCUCCCCCAGGGGUCCUCUAAGAGAGCAGUAAGUGCUUUAACUGAGUCGUUUCUCCAGCCCUAACUACUUUUCUUUAAUUUAAAAAUUAUAACUUACCUAGUUAAUAUGUCUGUUUAUUGUGGUGCUGGGAAUUAAAACUCAUAGCCUCAUCCAUGCUAGAUAAGGAUUCUACUAUUUAGCUACAUCCCCAGCCCCCAGCUCCCUUUUCCAUAUAGCCCAGGCCAACCUGCCUAGUGGUGAUAUCACCUACAGUGACCUGAGCCUUCCGGUAUCAAUUAGCAAAGAAGAAAAUACCCCAUAUGCCACAGGCGGGUCUGAUGGAGGCAAUUCUUCAGUGGAGGAUCCCUCUUCCCAGGUGUGUGGAGUUGGCAACAAAGGUUAGCCAUCACAGCCAGACCGAGACUUUAUCAAGACCCUAUCUCAAAGGCUCACAACGAGCCAGACAAGGUGGUACACACCUGUGCUAUCAGCAGGAAACAGUCCAAGGCCAGUAAGGGCCACAUAGCAAGUCUUCCUUUAGAGGAAGAAGAGGUUAAGAGCACUGGCUGUUCUGGAGUAUCAGGUUCAAUUCCCAGCACACACAUGGUGGUUCGAAGCCAUCUGUAACUCGGUCCCAGAGGCUUGACACCUUUUUCCGACCUCUUAGGCACUGGGCAUGCACAUGGUGCAUAGAUAUGCAGGCAGAACAUCUGUACACAUAAAAUUAGAAGAAGAAGAGUGGGAGGGUGAUAGAAUGCCCAGCAGGUGUCAGCCCCGUAUCCAGUUGUCUAAUAUUUCAAUAUACAGCAAAUUAGGAGCCAGAGAAAAUUUUAAGUAAAUAAGUGGUAAAACAAAUAGUGCAAAAUGUUCAGGGUAAAAUCUGGUGCUGAUCUCUCCACCCUUGAAACCUCACGCUGUACGAUGUUUAUAAAAGUUCUCAGGACUCUGCUGGUGUGGCCAAGUGGUAGAGAGGUUGUCAAGCAUGCAGAAUUCUGGAGUUCCUCCCCAGGAGGGGGAGAAAGGAGGCAGUGGCAGGAGCGCGAGUGUUUAAUUAAAGGUGAGAAGAGCCUUGCAUAUACUGCCUAUAAAGCCAGGUGUUGUGUCAGGAGGGCCUCACAGACAAAGAUCUUUUUAGAUUUAGUUUUAAAUUUUAUUUUAUGUGCAUUAGCGUGAAGGUGUCAGAUCCCUUGGAACUGGAGUUACAAACAGUUGUGAGCUGCCGUGUGGGUGCUGGAAAUUGAACCUGGGUCCUUUGAAAGAGCAGAUGGUGCCCUUAACCACUGAGCCAUCUCUCCAGCCCCAAUUAGAUUUAUUUUACUAUGUGUAUGAAUGUUUUUCCUGAACGUGUAUGUGCCUGGUGUCCAUGGAGGUCCUAAGAGAGUGUUGGAUCCCCUGGAACUGGAGUUGGGAUGGUUGUGAGCCACUGUGUGGGUGCUGGGUUUGAAACCCAGGUCCUUGGAACUGGAGAGAUGGCUCAGAGGUUAAGAGCACUGACUGCUCUUCUAAAGGUCCUGAGUUCAAUUCCCAGCAACCACAUGGUGGCUCACAACCACCUAUUGUGAGAUCUGGUGCCCUCUUCUGGAAUGCAGGCAUACAUGCAGGCAGAACACUGUAUACAUAAUAAAUAAAUAAAUCUUUUAAAAAGGUCAAUGUGUCCUACCGAGCAAGUUUCAGGACAGCCAGGCUACUCACAGAAAAGUGCUGGGGGAGGGGCACAGGAGAGGUUGUUGGACCAAAAGCUCUCUUUGCCCUUGUGGGUGAGGGUACAAACACUGUUGCUUUCCGGCGUCUUCUCUUGUACACUGUGUAGCUGGCACACACUGGCCCACAGGAAGUACUGCUCUUUUGGAAACAGGUCUGUACUUUGGCUGCUUUCUCUUUACUCCUUUUCAGGGUAGUGUCGUCAGCUCUUCGGAGUGAAGCAAUCCUUGAAUUCCAGUGGCUCACUGUCCGUCCAUCGUCUACAACCUGAAUCCCCUUCCAGAGCUUAACACCUGUGUGUGUAGCCACUGUAGGAUUGUGUCCAAGCUGUAGUUUCACAGCCUGUAGUUAACAGGAACUCAAGUAGCUUUAGCAUUGAAUACAUCAAUUCCUCCUAAUGUUUUGUUAUAGCUAAAGGUCACACUACUUUCUUAGAUGCUCAAAUCAUGUCUGUGUCUCUUUGCAAACGCGAGUGUGCACAGACGUGUGCAUGUCGGUAGGCAGGCAUUUCAAAGACCAGGGACAGAAGCAGUGAGACAGAGCAGUUGAAGACAUUUGCUGUGCCAGCCUGACAAUCCAGUCUUGAUUCCUGGAACCCAUGUAAAGGUGGAACAGAGAAAACUCAGUCCAGACCUACACACAUGCAAGCUCUCUCUCGCGCUCUCUCUCUCUCUCUCUCUCACUCACACACACACACGCACACACACGAACAGCAGAUAUUUCCGUGGUUAAGAACACUAGCUGCUUUUGCAGAGGACCCAGGGAUCCAGGUUUGGUUCCAAGCACAUACAUCAAGCAAUUGACAACAGCCGCUAAACUCCAGCUCAGUGUCACAGAAUCUUAAUGAUCUCCUCGGGCACUAAAUUCAUGAUGUGCAGUCAGGCACAUGUGAUGGCACUUCUCUGCCGUCUCCCGCUGUCAGACGAUCUGUUGAAAUCCUACCUGCAAAGACAGAUGAGGAGAAGGCUUAGUUGGCGAAGACACUACCAUGCCUGGCAACCUAAGUUCCGUCCCUGGAGCUCACGUGGUGAAAGGGGGAGCUGGCUGCCUCACGUUGACGUCUACAGGCAUGACGCGGCAGCAUGUGGACGUGUGCGCACACACAGUCAGUCUGGACUGCGGAAUGAGAGCCUGUCUGAAAAUGGCAGACAAACAACAAUAAAGAAAUGGCUAGAUACCAGAUUAAAGAAAAGCACUUUGUGAAGUAGGAAGUACCAAACACAUUAGACCCGUGGGGCCUUGCCCUGCAUCCUCCCUCCUGCUUGCUCUCUUCUCAGUGGACACUGACGUCCAGAAGCCUGAGCCUUGGGCCAGAAGGGAUCUCAGAGAACCUUGUCUCUGUGUUUCUGCAAACAAGAAGAAGUGAGCGGGGACCACAGCAGAAGGGAUCAGGACCUUCUCUGGACCCUCUCUACGCACAGAGCUAUCAAGGACUGCCAGACAGCAGGCAUAUACAGAAACAUCUGGAGCCAUGGAAUACCCCACCUGACCAAAAUUUGCUUUCUUUCUUCUUUUCUGAACGGUUGAGUGAAUUGAUAAAUAAAAUAAUGAAGUGGGCAUGACAGCAUAUGCCUAUAAC